rnacentral:rRNA from 1 species
UACGUAGGGGGCUAGCGUUGUCCGGAUUUAUUGGGCGUAAAGAGCGUGUAGGCGGCCAGGUAGGUCUGCUGUGAAAACCCGAGGCUCAACCUCGGGCCUGCAGUCGAUACGGGCAAACUAGAGUACUGCAGGGGAGACUGGAAUUCCUGGUGUAGCGGUGAAAUGCGCAGAUAUCAGGAGGAACACCGGUGGCGAAGGCGGGUCUCUGGACAGUUCCUGACGCUGAGGCACGAAGGCCAGGGGAGCAAACGGG